rnacentral:lncRNA from 1 species
UAGUUUGCUAUUGACGUGGAAACAAUAAUAAUUCCAGCAAACUAGCAAAGUAAUCAUGAACUUUCAAAAUAGCAAGGCCAAAAGAAAGUUAUCCCUACAAAAGCAUAUAAUCUGGCUAUGCUCUAUCAUCAUUGCACAACGAAUUUAAAUCAUGCACAACCCCGGUAUUUGCCAAGUAAUUGUUUCACACCUUUACUUUCUCAAACAUUUUCAACUCUCACGCAAUACAUGAGCGUGAGCCAUGGUUAUAG